rnacentral:rRNA from 1 species
UACGGGGGGGGCAAGCGUUGUUCGGAAUUACUGGGCGUAAAGGGCUCGUAGGCGGCCAACUAAGUCAGACGUGAAAUCCCUCGGCUUAACCGGGGAACUGCGUCUGAUACUGGAUGGCUUGAGUUCGGGAGAGGGAUGCGGAAUUCCAGGUGUAGCGGUGAAAUGCGUAGAUAUCUGGAGGAACACCGGUGGCGAAGGCGGCAUCCUGGACCGACAAUGACGCUGAGGAGCGAAAGCCAGGGGAGCAAACGGG